UAUCCUUCUGGUGAUGGAGGUGAUUUGAAAAAAAAGCAUAUGGUCUGCGUCAAUUGGUUGCUUUCUGAAAAGCCCUUGGACUUGGAAACUGAGCUUACUCUUGGGUUCUUAGACCAUCUUAUGCUGGGAACUCCUGCCUCUCCACUGAGGAAAAUCUUACUGGAGAGUGGUCUGGGAGAUGCCAUUGUUGGCGGUGGGAUUGAAGAUGAGCUCUUACAACCGCAG
rnacentral:misc_RNA from 1 species